GAACUUCUAGGAGAUCCUGGGGAGAGUCCAUAUGGUGCUGUAUCAGCUUGGCCAGAUUCAGGUGAAGAUAGGUAUCUUCCAGAAGUGAACCAAGAUUUUGAUGCAUCCACAUUGUUUGAGCGCCGGAAUGAAGGUGUCAAGGGAGUUGAGUUGCAUUGAUUUAUUGGACCACUUUGCAAUAACCCACUUGUAGCUGUCACCAUCUCUACCUCUUCCUCAACUGAUCUCUCCAAACUUUCAGUGAUG
rnacentral:misc_RNA from 1 species